rnacentral:tRNA from 1 species
AGCAGCGUGGCCUAAUGGACAGAGCAUGGGCCUGGGAGUCAGAAGGACCUGGGUUCUAAUCCCAGCUCUGCCA